GACGAACGCUGGCGGCGUGCUUAACACAUGCAAGUCGAACGCUGAAGCUCAGCUUUUGUUGGGUGGAUGAGUGGCGAACGGGUGAGUAACACGUGAGUAACCUGCCCCCUUCUUUGGGAUAACGCCCGGAAACGGGUGCUAAUACUGGAUAUUCACUGGUCUUCGCAUGGGGGUUGGUGGAAAGGGUUUUUCUGGUGGGGGAUGGGCUCGCGGCCUAUCAGCUUGUUGGUGGGGUGAUGGCCUACCAAGGCUUUGACGGGUAGCCGGCCUGAGAGGGUGACCGGCCACAUUGGGACUGAGAUACGGCCCAGACUCCUACGGGAGGCAGCAGUGGGGAAUAUUGCACAAUGGGCGCAAGCCUGAUGCAGCGACGCCGCGUGAGGGAUGGAGGCCUUCGGGUUGUGAACCUCUUUCGCUCAUGGUCAAGCCGCAACAAUGGUUGUGGUGAGGGUAGUGGGUAAAGAAGCGCCAGCUAACUACGUG
rnacentral:rRNA from 1 species